rnacentral:rRNA from 1 species
AGUGAACGCUGGCGGUAGGCCUAACACAUGCAAGUCGAACGGCAGCACAGUAAGAGCUUGCUCUUACGGGUGGCGAGUGGCGGACGGGUGAGGAAUACAUCGGAAUCUACUUUUUCGUGGGGGAUAACGUAGGGAAACUUACGCUAAUACCGCAUACGACCUACGGGUGAAAGCAGGGGAUCUUCGGACCUUGCGCGAUUGAAUGAGCCGAUGUCGGAUUAGCUAGUUGGCGGGGUAAAGGCCCACCAAGGCGACGAUCCGUAGCUGGUCUGAGAGGAUGAUCAGCCACCCUGGAGCUGAGACACGGUCCAGGCUCCUACGGGAGGCAGCAGUGGGGAAUAUUGGACAAUGGGCGCAAGCCUGAUCCAGCCAUACCGCGUGGGUGAAGAAGGCCUUCGGGUUGUAAAGCCCUUUUGUUGGGAAAGAAAAGCAGCAGGUUAAUACCCCGCUGUUCUGACGGUACCCAAAGAAUAAGCACCGGCUAACUUCGUG